GCUUAACACAUGCAAGUCGAGGGGCAUCAGGAAGAAAGCUUGCUUUCUUUGCUGGCGACCGGCGCACGGGUGAGUAACACGUAUCCAACCUGCCCUUUACUCGGGGAUAGCCUUUCGAAAGAAAGAUUAAUACCCGAUAGCAUAAUGAUUCCGCAUGGUUUCAUUAUUAAAGGAUUCCGGUAAAGGAUGGGGAUGCGUUCCAUUAGGUUGUUGGUGAGGUAACGGCCCACCAAGCCUUCGAUGGAUAGGGGUUCUGAGAGGAAGGUCCCCCACAUUGGAACUGAGACACGGUCCAAACUCCUACGGGAGGCAGCAGUGAGGAAUAUUGGUCAAUGGGCGCUAGCCUGAACCAGCCAAGUAGCGUGAAGGAUGAAGGCUCUAUGGGUCGUAAACUUCUUUUAUAUAAGAAUAAAGUGCAGUAUGUAUACUGUUUUGUAUGUAUUAUAUGAAUAAGGAUCGGCUAACUCCGUGCCAGCAGCCGCGGUAAUACGGAGGAUCCGAGCGUUAUCCGGAUUUAUUGGGUUUAAAGGGAGCGUAGGUGGACUGGUAAGUCAGUUGUGAAAGUUUGCGGCUCAACCGUAAAAUUGCAGUUGAUACUGUCAGUCUUGAGUACAGUAGAGGUGGGCGGAAUUCGUGGUGUAGCGGUGAAAUGCUUAGAUAUCACGAAGAACUCCGAUUGCGAAGGCAGCUCACUGGACUGCAACUGACACUGAUGCUCGAAAGUGUGGGUAUCAAACAGGAUUAGAUACCCUGGUAGUCCACACAGUAAACGAUGAAUACUCGCUGUUUGCGAUAUACAGUAAGCGGCCAAGCGAAAGCAUUAAGUAUUCCACCUGGGGAGUACGCCGGCAACGGUGAAACUCAAAGGAAUUGACGGGGGCCCGCACAAGCGGAGGAACAUGUGGUUUAAUUCGAUGAUACGCGAGGAACCUUACCCGGGCUUAAAUUGCAGUGGAAUGAUGUGGAAACAUGUCAGUGAGCAAUCACCGCUGUGAAGGUGCUGCAUGGUUGUCGUCAGCUCGUGCCGUGAGGUGUCGGCUUAAGUGCCAUAACGAGCGCAACCCCUAUCUUUAGUUACUAACAGGUUAUGCUGAGGACUCUAGAGAGACUGCCGUCGUAAGAUGUGAGGAAGGUGGGGAUGACGUCAAAUCAGCACGGCCCUUACGUCCGGGGCUACACACGUGUUACAAUGGGGGGUACAGAAGGCAGCUAGCGGGUGACCGUAUGCUAAUCCCAAAAUCCUCUCUCAGUUCGGAUCGAAGUCUGCAACCCGACUUCGUGAAGCUGGAUUCGCUAGUAAUCGCGCAUCAGCCACGGCGCGGUGAAUACGUUCCCGGGCCUUGUACACACCGCCCGUCAAGCCAUGGGAGCCGGGGGUACCUGAAGUACGUAACCGCAAGGAUCGUCCUAGGGUAAAACUGGUGACUGGGGCUAAGUCAUAACA
rnacentral:rRNA from 1 species